rnacentral:rRNA from 1 species
GACGUAGGGUGCAAGCGUUGUCCGGAUUUAUUGGGCGUAAAGAGCUCGUAGGCGGCUUGUUGCGUCGACUGUGAAAACCCGCGGCUUAACCGCGGGCUUGCAGUCGAUACGGGCAGGCUAGAGUUCGGUAGGGGAGACUGGAAUUCCUGGUGUAGCGGUGAAAUGCGCAGAUAUCAGGAGGAACACUAGUGGCGAAGGCGGCCACCUGGCCAAAGACUGACGCUGAGGCACGAAAGCGUGGGGAGCAAACAGG